GGAGGCGUUCGAGUAACCCUUGAAUACUGCCGAUCUCGUCAGAUCUCGGAAGCUUGAGCAGAGUUGAGCCUCGGUUUGUCCUUGGAUAGGAGACCGCCUGGGAAUAUCCAGGUGUCCUCACCU
rnacentral:rRNA from 1 species